UCCCUAGCAAUUUCUUUCCAAAGGCUAAAUGUAUCAUGCUCCAACUACUUCUUGGAGCCCUAUUCUAGACCCUUCUCUAUGUUGUUGAACCACUUCUAGUCCAGCACUUCCUGACUCUGGCUGCACAGUGGGCUCAAUCACCUGGGGAAGUCCUUUAAAAAUACCCAAGUCAGCCCCCGCCUAACCCCCAAGAUGGAUGAACCAGAAAUCUCUGAAAGGUGGCCUGAGUAUUAUUAUUUUCUAAAAGGCUCUCUCAGAACGUUUUAAUGGGCAGCCAGUGUUGAAAAUAACUGCUCCAGUUUGUUAAAAAAUAAUUGGUGUGAAUAUUGGCAAAAGCCCUCUGGCACGAAGAAAGAGAACCAGUUUCUUCUAGCUAAUGUUUGUUAGCCAGAAUUAUCUGUGGCAUACUCCAUGUGACUUAAUAGACCUGGUCUUCCAGGGCAGCUGAAUGCAAAUGUUUCUCAAGUAUAGAACGGGAUGUCAGGGCUUACAGAGAAAGUGGCAAACUGGAAUGAUGACUCCAUCUAAUUCGGCCAUGCUGGAUGAUUCACCUGGAUUCUCUCAUGUCCUGGGCAUUGAAAACAUAAUGAAGAAUUUUUAAAUUGAAUGUUUAAAAAGGUGAAAACAACUCCAUCCCUUUUUCUGUUUCCUUUUUACCUUGUAUUUAUGUACCACCAGGUGCUUUGCUCUUGGCGGUGAGUAUGAAUGAAUGGCACAGCUCAGCCCCCAAAGCCUGUGUGUAGAGACUGAGGGAUUGUGAUGGAGUAGUUCAUUCAUGUUCAUGUUAAGGGGGGUGCUAAUAGCAGAGUAGUGCCCCUGGGAUUAUUAAUAUCUAGGCCUGGGAGAGAUGGAGAUGGCUUCUUUUCCAGUUGCCACCUCAGCAGAAAGGGAAAUAAAAUGCCUAAAUUGUAAAGUUAGACAAUUAGACUGUAAAGUUUGUAUAUGUGACAACUUCAGAUACAAAGCCACACACUUACCCUUGACGGGGCUUAAGAGGAGAGAGUGUCAAACAUAAUACCAAAGUGAAAGAAGGUAGCUUUUCAUCUACAAAUUAUUUUUAAACACAUUUAUCAGGGUAAACAAUAAUUUUUUGGAAGAGGAGAGUACCCAAAGUCAAAUGCCCUAAGAUGAAGGAUAUUUAUGGUAUUUUUUUUUUUAAAUAAAGAAAAUGCAAAGUUAGAGUAGUUCUGAAGGAUCCUAGGAUGAGUAAGAUACAGAUGAUUAUUCUAAUGGUGCAGACAGGAUUGAGAGAGAAGAGGGGAGGGGAGAGAUGGAGAAAGGCAUGGAUGGAGGAAGACGUUUGGAUUCAGAUUUUGUAAAGGAUAGUAAAGGAAGGAGGUGAGCUGAGAUUUAUUUUUUAAAUUCUAUGAAUGUGUUUUCCCUCUUUUUCUUGUUAUUUUUCUCAUCUGUCUAUUCAUACUUGGAUAUUUUGUCCAAUAAACUAUCUUCUAAGGACUCUGAGAAUGCACUGAACAUUUUUGGAGGAUUUACUGGGUGCCAGACGCCAGUUUAGGAACUUUACACAUCUUCUCCAUUUCAUUUAGUUCUCUUAGCACAGAGAAGUGGGAGAAGAUAGUCCCAUUUUACAGGCGGGAUGAAAAAAGAGAUGGAGGAAUUUGCCCUCGGUUACUCAGCUAGAAUGUGGUGAAGAACUCAGGCCUUCGGGUAUCAGCGCCGGAUAUCAGCGCCCGGCAUUUAACUACCAAUCGUCCUGCUGGGACCCCGGCUCCUCUGGCACCAUCCCCAGGACCUGCUCUGAGAGUUUGCACGUGGCCAGUAGCGUUACAUCGUCUAACAAGGUCCAGCACAGCGCAAAUCCGAAGAGCGUCUACCCUGGGGGAAAAGAGAGUCUGUUUAAUUUUCCUGUGGCCCUCCAAGUGAGUUCUUUUGGGUUCCAUUGUCUAGACGAGGAAAGUGAGGCUUUGCCUGCUCUGCGGUCACAGGGUCGGCAGGUAGCGGGACCCUAGGUUCCUGCUGUGUUCCAGAGAUAAUCAAAGCUGCACAGGUCUUGUCAUUUUUAUGCAAAGCCAUCCGGAAGGCUCGAACUCUUCCUUACACAAGCCCAUCUGUCUCUGUGCGCCGCCCCCGGGGCUCGGAAGCAGGCGGCGAGCAGCGCCCAGUGGGUGGAGAAGCGUCCGCCGCCACUCACUUCGGCCAACUCUCCGCGCCUUCUCAGCCCGCACCCACCAGGCCGACCUCUCUCGGCCUAAAAAAAAAAAAAAAAAAAAAAA
ensembl:lncRNA